GAGUGCAUGGUCUAGUGGUAUGAUUUUCGCUUCGCAUGUGAAAGGUCCCCGGUUCGAUCCCGGGUGCAUCCA
rnacentral:tRNA from 1 species